AGUGAACGCUGGCGGUAGGCCUAACACAUGCAAGUCGAACGGCAGCACAGUAAGAGCUUGCUCUUACGGGUGGCGAGUGGCGGACGGGUGAGGAAUACAUCGGAAUCUACUUUUUCGUGGGGUAUAACGUAGGGAAACUUACGCUAAUACCGCAUACGACCUACGGGUGAAAGCAGGGGAUCUUCGGACCUUGCGCGAUUGAAUGAGCCGAUGUCGGAUUAGCUAGUUGGCGGGGUAAAGGCCCACCAAGGCGACGAUCCGUAGCUGGUCUGAGAGGAGGAUCAGCCACACUGGAACUGAGACACGGUCCAGACGCCUAAGGGAGGCAGCAGUGGGGAAUAUUGGACAAUGGGCGCAAGCCUGAUCCAGCCAUCCCGCGUGGGUGAAGAAGGCCUUCGGGUUGGAAAGCCCUUUUGUUGGGAAAGAAAAGCAGCAGGUUAAUACCCCGCUGUUCUGACGGUACCCAACGAAUAAGCACCGGCUAACUUCGUG
rnacentral:rRNA from 1 species